AGGUCCUGAUGCAAUGGAAGAAUUUUCAGUCAAGAUCCACUCAAGCCUCUAGAAGAAGAGAGCCAGCAGGACCAGAUGCCAUGCCAGGCUGGAAGCUGGGAAAGCAGAAAGAAACAGUUCACUCCUAAUGAAAAUUGCAAGCCAGACCAAAAAAAGGAAGUAUUUAUGGGUUCUGUUUGGCAUAUUUGAAUCGCCAGCCUCACUAUACUUGCACUUGGUCACAUUAUUAAGCCAGGGAAUGAAGCAGGAAGAUUCACUGUGCUCCAAUGAGGAUCCAGAUUCCAGAUGCGGAAGGGACUCUUUUGGCCAAAAGGUGAAGCUAUAGCUCUCCAAAUACUGCAGGCAGUACAGCUAGAAGUAAGACAUAGGGCAUUUUCUUAGAGAAAGAAGCCAUUUGUAGGGUAAGUAAUAGACUAGCACCCAGUGUCUCUUGAAAUAUAUUUGGAGAACCAUCUAAAUGUCAAAGCAGUAUUGGAUAUCUGAGAGAUAAUCCAGCAGAGCCUGAAUCUAAUGACUUCAAAUGGUAACAAGGACCCUGAAACCAGAACAACACUAGACAGGAACAAUAGCACUGGACUCGAACAGUGUGGGACACAGAGAAGACCGGAAGAGCCAGACUGGGCCAUGAAUUUGCUCCAUAGACAUUGACCAGUGGUCCCUGGCAGGCCUGGGGGUGGAGGUGAGGAGAGACUAUGUGUUUAUAUCAGAACCCGCAAGCUAUGGAUGCACCUGGCUGUCAGCUGUCACCACCUUUCUCUCUGAGUUCUUGUCUGCCCUCUAGUUAAAGCUCUACUUACACACACACACACACAUUGGCAAUUGAAGAGACAGAGAGGGACAGACAGGAGAGGGAGAGGGUAAAUCAAUAGGCAAAUCCAGGCAGUUGUCACUCCAGCAUGCAGUUUCCAUUAUU